CAGGGUGUAGUUUAGUGGUAAAACUACAGCCUUCCAAGCUGUUGUCGCGAGUUCGAUUCUCGUCACCCGCU
rnacentral:tRNA from 1 species